UGCUGGACGAAGAAGAGAGAGAUGAUACAACACUGAAGGAGAGAUUUGGUUCAAAAUGGAAGAGAACUACAUCAAAUGAACUGACACAGAGCAUUCGUGGUGAAGUGGCAAAAUUUCAAGGAAUUGUUGAAUCAGCAACUAAAGCUGAUUUAACCGUUAGAGAGAAAUUUGAGACACAUUGUCCGGCUAUGGUGACACUCAAAAAGAGCGAGACUGACCCUGCCUAAAGCUGGUGCAAUGGCACUUAUGGCAGCCAUCAAAGCUGGAAGCCCAUCUGUCCAAGAGCUUCAUUCAUUGAUGGAGGAUGUGAAAACGAUAAAAGCUGAGAGAGAAGUGUUGGAGCAACAGCUAAAAGGGCCAGUUGCUGACAUUACAUGCAUCAUAAUUACUUCCGAAUGGCAAAAUGGCUACUUUGCCAUUCAUUUGUACGUCACUAUAAACUCUUCUGGCAGGCUUCCUUAACUAUGAGCAUGCCUAAUUUAUGCUGCUCUUUCAUUUGCCUAGACCCAGGGAUGCAAAGGAAGCAAAAAGUCGUCAGAUAGAGAAUUAGUGAAGCGGCUGAAGUGAACACAGUCUUGUCUUGUUACUCCUAUAGUUAUUGCUAUCGCUACUUUUC